CUCCCUUCCUCCCCCGACUCCUUCUCUCCUCCCUUCUUUCUCCCCUCCCCAUCACCGCUCUUUUUGGUGUGUUGCUCACUUUCUCCUCAGUUUGUCCAAACACUUUCAGUUUUCACUUUCAGGAAGUGUUGAGGUCCACACCCAACUCAGGCUCUCCAUCCCUGAGGGGAAGCACGUGGCUGUCCCCUUUCGGUGGAUUUCAAGCAUCCCUGGCGCAGGUGCAGCGGCCUUGCCCUGGGCUCACCAGCAGCCUUUGGGGUCCCAGUUGGCAGGCAGCCCUGUUCCCUGGGGGUCCCUGCCGGAGCUGCUGGUCCCUGGAGCUACCCCGUGGUACGGUUCAUCUGGACCAGCCUCUGAUGUGGGGAAGACCAAGCGAGAGCACACUGCGGAGAGCCCAAAAGUCAGAUGUCCUGGCUUAAGCUGCUGAAGCCACCUUGGACCAUGAGUGAUCUUGAGAAUGGAAGCCACUGUCUAGAUGUUGGAACAAAGACAAUGGCCUGGGCCUCCCUGAUGACACCGCAGAGUCACCGUAUGUGUCCUGGAGUACUUGCUCUCUGCUUCUUUUUCAUGAGAGAUAAGUACAUUUUUAUCUUCUUUAGGCCACUGCUAUAUUUUUCCCGUUAAACACAGCUAUAUCCAAUCCUAACUGGUUCAACCUAUAAAAUGUGAUUAUUUCUUGUUUUAAGAUAACUAUAGCUACCAAUUAUUUUGCACUUAGUAGCUGCCAGACACUGUACUAAGUGUUUUAUGGGUGUCACCUUAUCUAAUUUGCACAACAAGAAUACUUACAAGGUAGGUAUUAUUAUCUAUAAUUUACAAAUGAGAAAAUGGAGGCUUAGAAAGCUUACAUAGUAUCUACAGGGUCAUAUUGAAAAAAGCAGAGUUCUAAACCAGGUUGGGAUGACCCCAAAACUUGUUCUAAUCUUAAUCACUGUUAUCAGUGUAAUGCAGUUAUUAUCCUCUGUGGGUAAAAGAUGCUAUUCCUGAUUCACUCACGGCAAUACGAAAUAUACAAGGAGCACAGUGUUGGCUAAUAUUUCUAGAGACUCUUACGGAAUUGUCAAGAUGUAGACAACUUUAUGUCCAAUCUGCUCCCUGAACAAGAUUGACAACAAAGACCCGGCUUGCCUUCUGUAUCACAGAUGACAACUAUCCCCAAACCUUACCUAGGUUGUCAAACAUUCACCUUUAUAAGAGAUUUGCAAACAGAAAUAACACUGACUGCAAAACUGAUGGCGGGGAUUAAAUAAGAGGAUAUAUGUAAAAUGCAUAGAAGAAAAUCAGGUACACAGUAAAUGCUUGAUGAAUGGUACCUGACGGCACCAUUAUUUAAGGGAUCCACAGUGAGACUGUGAAAAUUUUCAGGAGUCAGAAAUAUUAGGUUCAACCACAACCUCUGCAACUUGCUAGUUAUGUGAACAUUGUUCAGUCAUUUAACUUUUUGGCUUCUAAUUUUCUGAGGAAUACAUUAUUUAUAUAACAGAACUGUAAUUGGGGAUAAAGCCUUUCCAGUCCCCAUCCCAGUGCCUGACGCAUUUUAGAAUCCCAGCCAAUGAAAUUCUUCUCACUAUUAUUCUCACAGAAUUCUAAUGAACAUACUACCAACAGUGAUUUUCUCCUUGGCCCAUUAACCACACGGAAGGGAGUAUUCGCUGUGGAGUGCCUCUGUAGCUGAGGGCCCCUGGCGCGUGGUUUCAUCAGAGGCAGACAGCUGCUUUUAGUCUCUGCACGUGCGUUGGUCUCCUUUCUGCCCCUACAGUGUGGCCAAGGCCAUUCCAGCCUCAGGAGGGCAAGAGGAGGCCUGUUGGAUGCAUCCUGAAAACACAGGCCAUCACUGUGGGUGAGAUCUACCAGGACAGAUGCCAUUCUGCAAAGCUCCUAGUGGUAAAGCAAUUUGCAGGACAACCAUGGAAGAAAGGUGCCCGCCUUCUCUAAGCUGACAUGGCCCCGCUCCCUCCCUCAGUCUGUAGCCUCAGGAGGGGACUGCUUUGCCUGUGAGUGGGAGGGAGCUACCGUGUGAGUAGUUCCCAACAGACCAUCUGAAGUCAUUUUCCCAGGUGGCAGGAGAAACACAGAGCCAGACGUUACACUGCUUUUCAAAGAGGUAAGCUCUUUUUUUUUAACUGCUAUUUAAAACUCCAAACAAAAAUGAAGCUGUGGAUGCAUGCAAGAAUGAAGCCUAAGCAAAAAUAACUCUUCAAAAAGGAAGCAGGUUUUUUGGAGAGGGUGUGUGUGUGAGGGCGGGGCGGGGGCGAGUCCUUCAAUGUGGUUUUGAAAUUAAGGUCCAUGUUCUGUGAUAAUAAGCUAUGUAUCAAUGAGAAAGGCUGAGAUUAUGACAAGAGGAAAAGGAGUAAAGGAUUUGGCGGUUUAAUCACGUUUCUAUUCUUUUUUAUAUCUGCAUCUUCUUUGAAUGCAAGUAUCAAGUUCUGUUUGGCUUUUGUGGAAAGCCAUUUCCGAAGACCUGCCUUACUUGACUGUUUCUCCCUCUCUGGCUCUCCUGUUACCAACGUCCUAGAGUUGCCUCUGCUGCCCCAGCGAGGAUGGCGACACAAACAGCGGUGGUGUCAGCGGACAGCGGUGGUGUCAGCGGUGACCGAGGCAGGGCCGAGACUCCAGGGCCCUUCGGGUUCAAGCUGUGCCCCCUCGCGCAGUUCAGCACCUGCCAGCACUUCCAAGUGUGUGAUUGUCACGCUUGCCUGAUUACUCCUUCCUUUGGGCUCCCAUAGCAAUUUGUACAUUACUGUGGAAUUGAUCAAAUUGCUUUAUAACUAGCUGUUUAUGUGUCUUUAAUCUGUGUCAUUUUGGAUGGCAGGAAAUGCUCUUUCGGUAAUUUUUUUGUCCACACUGACUGGAAUACUGGUUGGCACAUAGUAGGUAUUCAACAGUUUUUUAUCGAGGGAAUGAAAGCUCUCUAAACCACAGCAAUCAUUUGUAGACAAAGACUCUUAGGGUGUAAUGUGAUUUAACAUCUGAUUUUUGGAAAAUAGUUACUGAGAUCAUUCCGACAAUAAUAGAGUGCAAUACCCUACCUUGAAUAAAGGAUAUUUUACUCCUUU
rnacentral:lncRNA from 1 species